rnacentral:rRNA from 1 species
AAACCAGCACCUCAAGUGGUCAGGAUGAUUAUUGGGCCUAAAGCAUCCGUAGCCUGCUCUGUAAGUUUUCGGUUAAAUCUGUACGCUCAACGUACAGGCUGCUGGGAAUACUGCAGAGCUAGGGAGUGGGAGAGGUAGACGGUACUCGGGAGGAAGUGGUAAAAUGCUUUGAUCUCUCGAUGACCACCUGUGGCGAAGGCGGUCUACCAGAACACGUCCGACGGUGAGGGAUGAAAGCUGGGGGAGCAAACCGGAUUAGAAACCCGAGUAGUCC